rnacentral:rRNA from 1 species
UACGAGGGGGGCAAGCGUUGUUCGGAAUUACUGGGCGUAAAGCGUGCGCAGGCGGCUUUGCAAGACAGAUGUGAAAUCCCCGGGCUUAACCUGGGAACUGCAUUUGUGACUGCAUGGCUGGAGUGCGGCAGAGGGGGAUGGAAUUCCGCGUGUAGCAGUGAAAUGCGUAGAUAUGCGGAGGAACACCGAUGGCGAAGGCAAUCCCCUGGGCCUGCACUGACGCUCAUGCACGAAAGCGUGGGGAGCAAACAGG